rnacentral:tRNA from 1 species
GUCGGGAUAGNUCAGUUGGUAGAGCAGAGGACUGAAAAUC